AGACACGUUCUCCCAGCUCACGAGGAAGCACGGCAUCAAGAUCGCCGCGGGCUUCCCGUGCAGCGUGGAGGACAUCGGGCUGUGGGGGAGAAGGUCGGGCACGGCGGCGUUAAGUCGGCCUCGCGCAUGAACGGCGCCGUGGUCAUCUUCCUGGACCAGGUGGAGAAGGUGAACCGAGUCGUGGAGGCGCCUCACGAAACUCACAGCGACAGCACCAACGAGGCCGACUGGAGGAGGGAAGUCCUGCUGAGCCACAACACCAACCUCAGUGGAGGAGUGGGCUUCCUCUUCUCCAGGUCCUUUAAUCCACUGUCACUGGAGGUCAAACACAUCAUCGAGGGGAGGUUGUUCUUAGUCAAGCUGGUGGACGCAGUGGGGCCGACGCUGAGCGACGCCCCGGCCCUGGGCUCUCUGCUGGGGCUGCACUCCGUCCGGAUGGCGAGGAGGCUCCUGGAGCUGUGGAACCAGAGGCUGACUGAGG
ensembl:lncRNA